CUUCUCGAGUUGGUCCAAAAAGUGCCUCAGAACACACCGAAGAGACGCCGAAUUGAGCGUACAUUCUGCACGUGCGCAAGACGUAAUAUGUCUCCAUAACAGCAGGUGACGCUAAUCUGUAUUGUCGCCCAAAAAAUAAAAAACGUAAAUGAAGGAGCAUCUCUCUAGACCUGGUAAACACAGAGCAGGCUGUCGUCAGUCCUUGUUUUCAUCAGAGAGAGGUGAUAGUAGUCAAGAAGGAUCCUUG